AUUAAUCUAAACCAAAUAAUUACGAAAGAAAAAUAAAAUAAAGAAUUAAUAUUCUAAGAAAAUAAAAUUAAUGAAACCAAAAAACACCAAACUCAAGGAUAGAACCUUGAGCCUUCUAGGAAAAAUAAGAUGUUUUAACCACCAAACCAUAAAUGACUAGUCAUUAAAUUAAUACAACAAAAUCUUUAUAAAACAAAUAUUAUGCUGAAAUCAAUUAAAUUAAAAAAAAAAAUCAACACAAACUUGCAAUAGCAG
rnacentral:lncRNA from 1 species